rnacentral:lncRNA from 1 species
AUGGAAGCCGUUAUCAAGGUAAUUCUUCACGCUUGUAAACUUCACUGUGGGAAACAGGCUCCUUCCAAAAGGGAGGUAACAGCAGUUCUCUUGCUGUUGGAGAAGGAAGGGCUUUUAACAACCCUGUCUGAUUUAUACAAUCCUGGCAGAUGGGAUGAAAUUACGGCCGCGUUAUCUCAGAGGUCGCUGGCCACUCGGAAAGUGUCGGAAUUCAAAGUAUGGGGAUUUAUCCUAGAAGCGCUGAAAGCAGCGCGGGAGGAGAAGCUAGCGAACCAACAUGCUAGAGAAAUACUGGGUUUGGAAACGGGGGGAGGCCGCGAGGGGGGUCUUGUCUCUCCUGCAGAUUCAGUGGAAGACAAGAUGGCGCCGGCUACCCCGGCCACACCUGUUGCUUCACCUUCGGAGAAGAAGAGGGACAUUCCAGAAGACCGCCCUGAACAGGAUGACACCCUGCCUCCACCCCCCUAUCCUGACUCCUUGUAUCCUUCAUUGGACGCUUACAGAGAUGAAGGGAGGGGGAAGCCCCCUGAGGAAUGUGGUGUUGCUUGCAUACUUGAUAAGAACAAGGACAAGGAGGGGGCGGGAGAGCCAAAGGGGGGAGGCGUGGUGGUGCCACCAGAGCUGAAAGGGGGAGGCGUGGUGCCACUGGUGAGAAGUGUAGGGGCGGGUGGUACUUCCUUGCUGUCGGGUCCGGCUUGUUGCUGUGUGUACGCCCAGAAAGGGAUGGAUCGUGCCGCCCCGUAUGAUAGUGAAAGUGAAUGUGGGGGUGGUGAUUCAAUGUGGGACGCCCAAAGGCCCACCCAAGGGAGAUGUGGCCCCAUGGCACCCGUCCCGUGGAGCCCGCCCACUCUCACUGAUUGGGCCCAAACAAGGGAGGACCUCUGGAUAGCUGACCCGGAAAUAACAGCUUUUCGUCUGCCGAUAGUUGUGAAGCAGCAUGGUCCGGCUUGGACCCCUCUGGAUUCCAAGGCGAUUACUCGCCUUGCAGAGUUAGUUAAGAACAAGGGCCUGCGUUCUCCGGUGACUAUGUCAGCAGUUGAGGCUCUUAUGGCCUCAAGACUCCUGCCGUAUGAUGUGGUCAGUCUCAUGAGGGUGAUUCUUGAGCCCGUGCAGUACACGUUGUGGUAUGAUGAAUGGAAUAGACUACUUCAGGCUGUUGUAGCUGAAGCAACUCGUGAUAACAAUCAUCCGGCUAAUGCACGUACAGGUCAAGGCCGUGUGGCUAGGGUUGAAAGAACUACUCUCUUGCGCCUUCAGGGACUAGCAGAUGGUAUGGUGGGGUCCCCGGAGGGUCAAGCAAGAGGGCUGAGAGCGGGGGAGUUAGCUGCGCUUACAAAGGCAGCCCUUCAGGCUCUGAGGACGGUGGCUAAGAUUGUGGAGCCUGUGCUCCCGUGGUCUGACAUCAAACAGGAGCCCUCUGAGUCGUUUUCUGAUUUUGCAAAUCGCUUGAUUCAUGCCAUUGAAGGGUCUGACCUCCCCAGGGAGGUCCAGCCUUUGGUUGUGAUAGAUUGUCUCAAGCAAAAGUCUCUCCUGGACGUUCAGCAGAUAAUUAGGGCAGCACCUGGGACUCUGAACACCCCAGGGGAGAUUAUUAAAUAUGUGCUAGAUCAUCAGAAGAAUACGCCCUCACAUAAUGACAGCUUGGCAACUGCCGUGCAGGGAAUGGCUGCUUCAGUGCAAGGGAUGGCUGCUUCGGUUAGCUCUGCAAUCAGAUCUGCAGUGAUGAUGGCAGCUCGCACCGGGGAUGAGAAGGGAAAAGGUCCGUGUUUCAAGUGUGGGCAGCAUGGUCAUUUUAAAGCACAAUGCCCUGAGAGAGCUGGGCAGAGUGGGUCACAGGGUCUGGGGGAGCCUUGUCAAUUGUGUGGUUGGGCUGGACAUGAUGCACAUCAGUGUCAAAAAUAUGAGGUUUCACCGCAGGGAAACUGGUACGGGAGGGUGCCAAUGGCCCAGGUCUCCUUCCCACUCUUUUAA